UAAGGAAUAUUGGUCAAUGGACGCAAGUCUGAACCAGCCAUGCCGCGUGGAGGAUGAAGGUCCUCUGGAUUGUAAACUCCUUUUAUCUGGGACGAAAACGGGAUUUUUAUCUCAAUUGACGGUACCAGAGGAAUAAGCACCGGCUAACUCCGUGCCAGCAGCCGCGGUAAUACGGAGGGUGCGAGCGUUAUCCGGAUUUACUGGGUUUAAAGGGUGCGUAGGUGGGCUUAUAAGUCAGUGGUGAAAUCUCCGAGCUUAACUUGGAAACUGCCGUUGAUACUAUAGGUCUUGAAUUAUCUGGAGNUAAGCGGAAUAUGUCAUGUAGCGGUGAAAUGCUUAGAUAUGACAUAGAACACCAAUUGCGAAGGCAGCUUACUACAUAUAAAUUGACGCUGAGGCACGAAAGCGUGGGGAUCAAACA
rnacentral:rRNA from 1 species